AAUGCAUGAAAUGUAUGGCAAUCACGUGACGUGGUACAGGGCGUGGAUGUUCCCUUUGUGUGGAGAACGAAAGUUAACUGCACUUCUUGGUGUAGGAUUCUACGGCAAACAACUGAAGUUUAAUAUUAGAGGCGUAAUAUUACAAAUUUAAUAUUAAACUUCAGUUGUUUGCUAGGACUGGCGCUGGGGAGUACACAAAGCUGGAUGUGUACAUAAUGAAAAGAGAGAAAAAAUGCUGCCCUUCCUGAUUCUUCUGUUUCUAAACCCACUGAUUUCUGCCGCACAAGACCCAAAACCCAUCACAGCUAAGCCUGGAGACAACGUCAUUCUGCCAUGUCAAGCUCCAAACAGCAACAACCUCGCAGGUGUGGAGUGGAGCAGACGUGACCUGGAGCCAGAAUAUGUUCUUUUGCUCCGAGAUGGGCACAUUGUUCCAGAAGACCAGCAACCAUCUUUUAAAGACCGGGUGGAACUCCAGGACCAACAGAUGAAAAAUGGAAACGUGUCUUUGAUUCUGGAGAAAGUGACAGCUGCAGAUGAUGGAACAUACGAGUGCCGUAUCCUCACGCAUGGGGGAGAACGGAGAAAGAGAGCUGUGGAAACCAUCAGCGUCAUCAACCUUCAUGUUGUUCCUGCAGGUGAGUGAGUAGAGUUGAGUGUGAGUGUGAUCAGAGGUGAAGCUGCUUCCUGGUUGUUGAUGUUUGUUUCUAAAGAUGUUGUUGAUGAGACUUUGUAGAAAGCAGCUGGUCUGAGUGAUGUGAUCAGAGUGCAGUAGAUAAUGUCUGACAGCAGUUUGAAGAGGAAAUGGAUUCUGUUCUGUUCUUCACUCAUCACCUACCUGACAGCUGACACCUCACACCUGUUUCUCACCUGCAGGUCAGACAGGAGAAGCCACAGAGGAUGGAGGAGGGAAGAUUGGAUCUGUUGAACCUGCAGCUAUUCUUUCAGUUUCUGCUCUGCUCCUUCUUCUUCUUGCUUCUGUUGUUGGCUUUGUGAUCUACAGAAAACGUAAACCACAACAGAGUCAGAAAUCAUACCAGCCUCCAGCUGAACAAUCGCCUGUCUGAAAAUUUUCAGAGCUUUUUUCAGCUUUACUUUAAAUUUCCUGCUGCUGUUCCAAGUUCUCCCUUCUGACAUUCAGCAUGUGGAAAUAUAAUAUAGGUCCGAAUCUGGGCCCUGUACUAUGAAGCAAGUCCAACAUACCCAGAGUAUCUUUCCUGACAUUGGUGGUCAUAAGAAGCUUGUCAUCUAGUUGCUUGGUUAACACAGAGUUUUCCAAUCUAGGUAUGAGUGAAUAAAAGAGGUGGCACUGGCAGCAUCUGGCCAUUCAUGUUGAGAAUUGUACUGGCAGAUAAGUGGCUGAUUUUGCAAUGAAAGAGUAAAUUGGAAAAAUGUGAAAAAGGUUAGAAAUAAUAUUAAAUAAAAGCAACACAGCUGCUGCAGAUCAAUCAGCACAGUGGGAGUUAAAGUAGAGCAGAGUAGUUCAUUCUUAAACGCGCUCUAAUGUGUGAGCCUUAAAUGUUUUGAAGAAUCUGAUGUAAUACAUUCUUGUAUUCUACAAAGUUAAUGUUCAGAUUAGCAAAAAACAGUUUUAUUUUUUACUUGUCAGCUGCAGCCCUGAUUGUGUAAAUAAGUAAAUAAUAAAUGCAAUAACAGGAUUCCAAUGUACCUGCUGUCCACCUGGAACUGAUAUAAAAUUCAAAAAUUCAAAUUCAAAUUUUAUUUGUCACAUACACAGUCAUACACAGUACGAUAUGCAGUGAAAUGCCUUAUACAACUGCUCGUGACCUAAAGAAAAAAAAGAAAGAAAAGGCUAUGAAUAAAAUAGGAAAUAAAUAUGAAAAUUAAAAGGGUGAAUUUAACUAGGAAGGAAUAAAAUAGAAUAUAUAUGAAUUAGAGUUGAAAAUAAAGUAACUGUACAACAAAAUGAACAGUAUGGAAAUAAUAAGAAUGUAUGAGGAAAUAUAAUAUAAAUAUAUAUGCAAUAUACAAUAGCAGCAGCUGUACAAAUAUUAAAUGGAAAUGAAGACAUAUAAGAAAUAUAAUGUCCAGUGUUGUGCAAACCACAAUGCACAUAUAAAGUCUUAUAAUAUAAUAAUGAUAUAAUAUAAUAUAAUAUAAAGACUUCGGACAACUACUACUAUCCACGCACUGGUCUGAAUGAUCUUCCAGGAAUGGUGAUGCUGUUUGUCACAGACUUAGUUUGCCAGUAGGAAGUGAUCUCACACCUCAUUUCAUACCUACAGAUCUCUAUGACCCAACCUGUUCAAUAGCAGGUUAGGUCAUAGAUUAACAAGGAACCCCAGGAAAAAGUGAACCACCUUCAUAGUACAGAAAACCCAGGUUGAACCCUGAAGUUACCUGGGUAAGACAAAAUUCUCCUAACAGGCCUUUCAUCUUCAGUUGCUUCAUAAUAAACCUCUUACAUGAAGGGCUUUCAAGUAGUUUUUAGACAAAUGGGGGUAAAAGAGAUAUUUAAAC
ensembl:lncRNA